rnacentral:rRNA from 1 species
AGAGUUUGAUUAUGGCUCAGGAUGAACGCUGGCGGCGCGCUUAACACAUGCAAGUCGAACGGUUAAAGCACCUCCGGGUGUGCAUAAAGUGGCGAACGGCUGAGUAACACGUGGGCAACCUGCCCCCCGCACCGGGAUAGCCUCGGGAAACCGUGGGUAAUACCGGAUACUCCGCCACCCCCGCAUGGGGGAGGCGGGAAAGCGUACACGGCGGGGGAUGGGCCCGCGGCCUGUUAGCUCGUUGGCGGGGUAACGGCCCACCAAGGCGAUUAUGGGUAGCCGGGUUGAGAGACCGACCGGCCAGAUUGGGACUGAGACACGGCCCAGACUCCUACGGGAGGCAGCAGUGGGGAAUCUUGCACAAUGGGCGAAAGCCUGAUGCAAGCGACGCCGCGUGCGGGAUGAAGGCCCUCGGGUUGUAAACCGCUUUCAGCAGGGACGAGGCGCAAGUGACGGUACCUGCAGAAGAAGCCCCGGCUAACUACGUGCCAGCAGCGGC